rnacentral:rRNA from 1 species
CCUACGGGAGGCAGCAGUGGGGAAUAUUGGGCAAUGGGCGCAAGCCUGACCCAGCAACGCCGCGUGAAGGAAGAAGGCUUUCGGGUUGUAAACUUCUUUUAAGGGGGAAGAGCAGAAGACGGUACCCCUUGAAUAAGCCACAGCUAACUACGUGCCAGCAGCCGCGGUAAUACGUAGGUGGCAAGCGUUGUCCGGAUUUACUGGGUGUAAAGGGCGUGCAGCCGGAGAGACAAGUAAGAUGUGAAAUCCACGGGCUCAACCCGUGAACUGCAUUUGAAACUGUUUCCCUUGAGUGUCGGAGCGGUAAUCGGAAUUCGAGGUGUAGGAGUGAAAUCCGUAGAUAUCUGGAGGAACAUCAGUGACGAAGGCGACUAUCUGGCACAUAACUGACGCUGAGGAGCGAAAGCGUGGGUAGCAAACAGGAUUAGAUACCCCGGUAGUC